GAAUAGGUGGCUCAGUGGUUAGAGCGCGAAUUUACUAACCGGAAGGUUCGUGGUUCGACCCGACCUAUGCA
rnacentral:tRNA from 1 species